AGCGAACGCUGGCGGCGUGCUUAACACAUGCAAGUCGAGCGGUAAGGCCCUUUCGGGGGUACACGAGCGGCGAACGGGUGAGUAACACGUGGGUGACCUGCCCUCAGCUCUGGGAUAAGCCUGGGAAACCGGGUCUAAUACUGGAUAUGACUCCAUGACGCAUGUUGUGGGGUGGAAAGCCUUGUGCGGCUGAGGAUGGGCCCGCGGCCUAUCAGCUUGUUGGUGGGGUGAUGGCCUACCAAGGCGACGACGGGUAGCCGGCCUGAGAGGGCGACCGGCCACACUGGGACUGAGACACGGCCCAGACUCCUACGGGAGGCAGCAGUGGGGAAUAUUGGACAAUGGGCGCAAGCCUGAUCCAGCGAUGCCGCGUGUGUGAAGAAGGCCUGCGGGUUGUAAAGCACUUUCAGUAGGGAAGAAAAGCCGAGUGCUAAUAUCACUCGGUCUUGACGUUACUUACAGAAGAAGCACCGGCUAACUCCGUGCC
rnacentral:rRNA from 1 species